AUUGAACGCUGGCGGCAUGCCUUACACAUGCAAGUCGAACGGUAACAGGUCUUCGGACGCUGACGAGUGGCGAACGGGUGAGUAAUACAUCGGAACGUGCCUAGGAGUGGGGGAUAACUACUAGAAAGAGUGGCUAAUACCGCAUGCGGUCUACGGAUGAAAGCAAGGGAUCGGAAGACCUUGUGCUAAUAGAGCUGCCGAUGGCGAAGUAGGUAGUUGGUGGGAUAAAAGCUUACCAAGGCGACGAUCUGUAGCUGGUCUGAGAGGACGAUCAGCCACACUGGGACUGAGACACGGCCCAGACUCCUACGGGAGGCAGCAGUGGGGAAUUUUGGACAAUGGGCGCAAGCCUGAUCCAGCAAUGCCGCGUGCAGGAUGAAGGCCUUCGGGUUGUAAACUGCUUUUGUACGGAACGAAAAGCCCCGGGUUAAUACCCUGGGGUCAUGACGGUACCGUAAGAAUAAGCACCGGCUAACUACGUGCCAGCCGCCGCGGUAA
rnacentral:rRNA from 1 species